AUGUUAUAAAGAAAGGCGGAGGGAUUAGACCCAAUGAAGCCUUAGCAACCCUUCGGAAAUCGAAGAAGGUGCUACAUUCUAUUCGCCUAGCGAAAAAGAUAACGC
rfam:Flavobacterium succinicans strain DD5b FLB_contig000046, whole genome shotgun sequence.